UCGUGGCUGUGCUGCAAGAAUUCUUU
rnacentral:piRNA from 1 species